rnacentral:rRNA from 1 species
CCAAUAGCGUAUAUUAAAGUUGUUGCAGUUAAAAAGCUUGUAGUUGAAUUUCGGGAUUGACACAUCGGUCGUGCCUUAAGGGGUAUGAACUGGUGUAGUCAAUUUCUCACCUUCUGGAGAACCGCGAUGCCCUUAAUUGGGUGUCACGGGGAACCAGGACCUUUACUUUGAAAAAAUUAGAGUGUUUAAAGCAGGCAUUUUGCUUGAAUACAUUAGCAUGGAAUAAUAAAAUAGGACGGCAUGAUUCUAUUUUGUUGGUUUCUAGGAUCACCGUAAUGAUUAAUAGGGAUAGUUGGGGGCAUUAGUAUUCAAUUGUCAGAGGUGAAAUUCUUGGAUUUAUUGAAGACUAACUACGGCGAAAGCAUUUGCCAAGGAUGUUUUCAUUAAUCAAGAACGAAAGUUAGGGGAUCGAAGACGAUCAGAUACCGUCGUAGUCUUAACCAUAAACUAUGCCGACUAGGAAUCAGACGAUGUUAAUUUUUUAAUGACUCGUUUGGCACCUUACG